AAAGUCCAAUCGGGAGAAUAGACUCCACUCCCGUAGCCUGAGAGGCGCCAUGAAGUGAAAGCGACAUGGCGAAGCCCUCUGACAUCACAUGCAAAAGGCAUGUGGGCAAAUCUCCAGGUUGUAACGUACAGUGAACGUAGAUGUAGCCUCGUUACACGCAAUUCCGGUGGCUGAGACGGUCGAUAACGUGCGAAAGCAACAAGAACUGACCGAAACGAGUCUGGAACGGCAGUUCUCACCGGCGGGGUAUCAGCGGC
rfam:Bacillus gaemokensis strain JCM 15801 contig125, whole genome shotgun sequence.